UUACGGCCAUAUCAUGUUGAAACACCGGUUCCCGUACGAUCACUGAAGUUAAGCUAUGUCGAGUCUGGCCACCCACCUAGAUGGGUGACCGUUUGACAAUACCAGGUUCUGCAAG